AUGGAAUCUGACCUGACCAUUUUCUCUUUUAUCUUAGUUUAUCAUCUCUGGCUCUCUAUCAAUCGCCACAGAGAAAAGGUUAACCAAGCUUUUGGUGCAUAGCAGCCUGGUUGGAAGCAUUCUGAGUGCUCUGUCUGCCCUGGUGGGUUUCAUUAUCCUGUCUGUCAAACAGGCCACCUUAAAUCCUGCCUCACUGCAGUGUGAGUUGGACAAAAAUAAUAUACCAACAAGAAGUUAUGUUUCUUACUUUUAUCAUGAUUCACUUUAUACCACGGACUGCUAUACAGCCAAAGCCAGUCUGGCUGGAACUCUCUCUCUGAUGCUGAUUUGCACUCUGCUGGAAUUCUGCCUAGCUGUGCUCACUGCUGUGCUGCGGUGGAAACAGGCUUACUCUGACUUCCCUGGGAGUGUACUUUUCCUGCCUCACAGUUACAUUGGUAAUUCUGGCAUGUCCUCAAAAAUGACUCAUGACUGUGGAUAUGAAGAACUAUUGACUUCUUAAGAAAAAAGGGAGAAAUAUUAAUCAGAAAGUUGAUUCUUAUGAUAAUAUGGAAAAGUUAACCAUUAUAGAAAAGCAAAGCUUGAGUUUCCUAAAUGUAAGCUUUUAAAGUAAUGAACAUUAAAAAAAACCAUUAUUUCA
rnacentral:lncRNA from 1 species